GUAAACACAGAUCUAAUACAACAUAAAAAGAGCGGAUUAUGCUGCAAUUGUAGUCUAUAUUAGCUUAGUUCGCAGAAGACAUCUAUUAUUACAAGUCUAUAACUAUACAUAUCACACCAGGAUGCCAGAGCCACACAUUCAAGUUCAAUAAACUUUCCCUCAGUGUCACAGACAGAAACCAGCUAUGUUACUGUCAGGACAACAACUGUAUCGCCAAUGAAAGGCUAAAAAGUCUCACACGUUUCUUAUAUCCAGUCUAACUUAGUUGUUCAACUGAUUUACACAUAUCAAAAGAGUCACAGUUUAUUAUAUAUAUUGAUAAACAAAAGUUUACGUGUUACAUUCCAUCACUGUGUUAAUCACAGAUCUAACACUUUAUAAGAAGAGCAAAU